rnacentral:rRNA from 1 species
CCUACGGGAGGCAGCAGUGGGGAAUCUUGCGCAAUGGGCGAAAGCCUGACGCAGCAACGCCGCGUGCGGGAUGAAGGCCUUCGGGUUGUAAACCGCUUUUAACAGGAACGAAAAUGACGGUACCUGUAGAAUAAGGUGCGGCCAACUACGUGCCAGCAGCCGCGGUGACACGUAGGCACCAAGCGUUGUCCGGAUUUAUUGGGCGUAAAGAGCUCGUAGGCGGUUCGAUAAGUCGGGUGUGAAAACUCUGGGCUUAACCCAGAGACGCCACUCGAUACUAUUGUGACUAGAGUUCGGUAGGGGAGCGGGGAAUUCCUAGUGUAGCGGUGAAAUGCGCAGAUAUUAGGAGGAACACCGGUGGCGAAGGCGCCGCUCUGGGCCGAAACUGACGCUGAGGAGCGAAAGCGUGGGUAGCAAACAGGAUUAGAUACCCUGGUAGUCCACGCCGUAAACGGUGGGCACUAGGUGUGGGCUCCAACCAACGGAGUCCGCGCCGUCGCUAACGCAUUAAGUGCCCCGCCUGGGGGAGGUACGGCGCAGUAAACUACAAGAAUAGNG